rnacentral:rRNA from 1 species
UACAGAGGGGGCAAGCGUUGUUCGGAAUUACUGGGCGUAAAGGGCGCGUAGGCGGCCUUCUAAGUCGAACGUGAAAUCCCCGGGCUCAACCCGGGAACUGCGUCCGAUACUGGAAGGCUUGAAUCCGGGAGAGGGAUGCGGAAUUCCAGGUGUAGCGGUGAAAUGCGUAGAUAUCUGGAGGAACACCGGUGGCGAAGGCAGCCCCCUGGGCCAAUACUGACGCUCAUGCACGAAAGCGUGGGGAGCAAACAGG